AUGGAUACUAGGUGUGGGGGGUGUCAACUCCCUCCGUGCCGAAGCUAACGCAUUAAGUAUCCCGCCUGGGGAGUACGGCCGCAAGGCUAAAACUCAAAGGAAUUGACGGGGGCCCGCACAAGCAGCGGAGCAUGUGGUUUAAUUCGACGCAACGCGAAGAACCUUACCUGGGCUUGACAUGUUCUUGAUCGGCGUGGAAACACGUCUUCCCUCACGGGCAAGAUCACAGGUGGUGCAUGGCUGUCGUCAG
rnacentral:rRNA from 1 species